UCCAGACUCCUACGGGAGGCAGCAGUGAGGAAUAUUGGUCAAUGGGCGAGAGCCUGAACCAGCCAAGUCGCGUGAGGGAAGACGGUCCUAUGGAUUGUAAACCUCUUUUGCCGGGGAGCAACGGGCGCCACGUGUGGCGCCACUGAGAGUACCCGGAGAAAAAGCAUCGGCUAACUCCGUGCCAGCAGCCGCGGUAAUACGGAGGGUGCGAGCGUUAAUCGGAAUUACUGGGCGUAAAGCGCUCGUAGGCGGUAUGUCAAGUCAAGGGUGAAAUCCCCGCGCUCAACGUGGGAACUGCCUUUGAAACUGGCAAACUGGAGUGUGUGAGAGGAUAGUGGAAUUCCAGGUGUAGGAGUGAAAUCCGUAGAUAUCUGGAGGAACAUCAGUGGCGAAGGCGACUAUCUGGCACAUAACUGACGCUGAGGAGCGAAAGCGUGGGUAGCAAACAGGAUUAGAUACCCCUGUA
rnacentral:rRNA from 1 species